rnacentral:rRNA from 1 species
GGCUCAGAACGAACGCUGGCGGCAUGCUAACACAUGCAGUCGAGCGAUGAUUCGGUCCUAGCGGCGGACGGGUGAGUAACGCGUGGGAACGUGCCCUUCACUACGGAAUAGUCCCGGGAAACUGGGUUUAAUACCGUAUACGCCCUUCGGGGGAAAGAAUUUCGGUGAAGGAUCGGCCCGCGUCUGAUUAGGUAGUUGGUGGGGUAACGGCCUACCAAGCCUACGAUCAGUAGCUGGUUUGAGAGGAUGAUCAGCCACACUGGGACUGAGACACGGCCCAGACUCCUACGGGAGGCAGCAGUGGGGAAUCUUAGACAAUGGGGGCAACCCUGAUCUAGCCAUGCCGCGUGAGUGACGAAGGCCCUAGGGUCGUAAAGCUCUUUCACCAGGGAAGAUAAUGACGGUACCUGGAGAAGAAACCCCGGCUAACUCCGUGCCAGCAGCCGCGGUAAUACGGAGGGGGUUAGCGUUGUUCGGAAUUACUGGGCGUAAAGCGCGCGUAGGCGGACUGUUAAGUCAGGGGUGAAAUCCCGGGGCUCAACCCCGGAACUGCCCUUGAUACUGGCAGUCUCGAGUUCGAGAGAGGUGAGUGGAACUCCGAGUGUAGAGGUGAAAUUCGUAGAUACUCGGAAGAACACCAGUGGCGAAGGCGGCUCACUGGCUCGAUACUGACGCUGAGGUGCGAAAGUGUGGGGAGCAAACAGGAUUAGAUACCCUGGUAGUCCACACCGUAAACGAUGAAUGCCAGACGUCGGGCAGCAUGCUGUUCGGUGUCACACCUAACGGAUUAAGCAUUCCGNCUGGGGAGUACGGCCUGCAGGUUAAAACUCAAUGGAAUUGACGGGGGCCCGCACAAGCGGUGGAGCAUGUGGU